AGCCUGAACGCUGGCGGCGUGGCUAAGACAUGCAAGUCGUACGGGGCCGUAGCAAUACGGUCCAGUGGCGGACGGGUGAGUAAUGAAUCGCUAACGUGCCCCGCAGUCCGGGAUAGCCGCCCGAAAGGGCGGGUAAUACCGGGUGACAUUCCCCGCGGGCAUCCGCGGGGACUCAAAGGGAAACCGCU
rnacentral:rRNA from 1 species